rnacentral:tRNA from 1 species
CAGGAUGUGGCGCAGUUGGUAGCGCGUGUGGCUGGGGGUCACAAGGCCGCUGGUUCAAGUCCAGUCAUCCUGA